GUGAAAGGCCAAUCAAACCGGGAGAUAGCUGGUUCUCCCCGAAAGCUAUUUAGGUAGCGCCUCGUGAAUUCAUCUCCGGGGGUAGAGCACUGUUUCGGCUAGGGGGCCAUCCCGGCUUACCAACCCGAUGCAAACUGCGAAUACCGGAGAAUGUUAUCACGGGAGACACACGGCGGGUGCUAACGUCCGUCGUGAAGAGGGAAACAACCCAGACCGCCAGCUAAGGUCCCAAAGUCAUGGUUAAGUGGGAAACGAUGUGGGAAGGCCCAGACAGCCAGGAUGUUGGCUUAGAAGCAGCCAUCAUUUAAAGAAAGCGUAAUAGCUCACUGGUCGAGUCGGCCUGCGCGGAAGAUGUAACGGGGCUAAACCAUGCACCGAAGCUGCGGCAGCGACACUUUAGUGUUGUUGGGUAGGGGAGCGUUCUGUAAGCCGUUGAAGGUGUCCUGUGAGGGGUGCUGGAGGUAUCAGAAGUGCGAAUGCUGACAUAAGUAACGAUAAAGCGGGUGAAAAGCCCGCUCGCCGGAAGACCAAGGGUUCCUGUCCAACGUUAAUCGGGGCAGGGUGAGUCGACCCCUAAGGCGAGGCCGAAAGGCGUAGUCGAUGGGAAACGGGUUAAUAUUCCCGUACUUGGUGUUACUGCGAAGGGGGGACGGAGAAGG
rnacentral:rRNA from 1 species